CAGGACGAACGCUGGCGGCGUGCCUAACACAUGCAAGUCGAACGGAACUAUUUGACUGAUUCCUUCGGGAUGAAGAAUUUUAGUUAGUGGCGGACGGGUGAGUAACGCGUGAGUAACCUGCCUCUGAGAGGGGAAUAACGUUCUGAAAAGAACGCUAAUACCGCAUAACACAUAUUUGCCGCAUGACAGAUAUGUCAAAGAUUUUUAUCGCUCGGAGAUGGACUCGCGUCCGAUUAGUUAGUUGGUGAGGUAACGGCUCACCAAGACCGCGAUCGGUAGCCGGACUGAGAGGUUGAACGGCCACAUUGGGACUGAGACACGGCCCAGACUCCUACGGGAGGCAGCAGUGGGGGAUAUUGCGCAAUGGGGGCAACCCUGACGCCAGCAACGCCGCGUGAAGGAUGAAGGUUUUCGGAUUGUAAACUUCUUUUAUCAGGGACGAACUCUGACGGUACCUGAUGAAUAAGCUCCGGCUAACUACGUGCCAGCCGCAGC
rnacentral:rRNA from 1 species